UACAGAGGGUGCAAGCGUUGUUCGGAAUUACUGGCGUAAAGGCGCGAUGUAGGCUGCUCGGAAAGUCGGAUGUGAAAGCCCUGGGCUCAACCUAGGAAGUGCACUCGAAACUUCCGAGCUGGAGUGCUGGAGAGGAAGGCGGAAUUCUCGGUGUAGAGGUGAAAUUCGUAGAUAUCGAGAGGAACACCGGUGGCGAAGGCGGCCUUCUGGACAGUUACUGACGCUGAGACGCGAAAGCGUGGGGAGCAAACAGG
rnacentral:rRNA from 1 species